rnacentral:rRNA from 1 species
GCAGUCGAGCGGUAGCAGGUCCUUCGGGAUGCUGACGAGCGGCGGACGGGUGAGUAAUGCAUAGGAAUCUGCCCGGUAGUGGGGGAUAACCUGGGGAAACCCAGGCUAAUACCGCAUACGUCCUACGGGAGAAAGGGGGCUUCGGCUCCCGCUAUUGGAUGAGCCUAUGUCGGAUUAGCUAGUUGGUGAGGUAAUGGCUCACCAAGGCAACGAUCCGUAGCUGGUCUGAGAGGAUGAUCAGCCACAUCGGGACUGAGACACGGCCCGAACUCCUACGGGAGGCAGCAGUGGGGAAUAUUGGACAAUGGGGGCAACCCUGAUCCAGCCAUGCCGCGUGUGUGAAGAAGGCCCUCGGGUUGUAAAGCACUUUCAGCGAGGAAGAACGCCUAGCGGUUAAUACCCGCUAGGAAAGACAUCACUCGCAGAAGAAGCACCGGCUAACUCCGUGCCAGCAGCCGCGGUAAUACGGAGGGUGCAAGCGUUAAUCGGAAUUACUGGGCGUAAAGCGCGCGUAGGUGGCUUGAUAAGCCGGUUGUGAAAGCCCCGGGCUCAACCUGGGAACGGCAUCCGGAACUGUCAGGCUAGAGUGCAGGAGAGGAAGGUAGAAUUCCCGGUGUAGCGGUGAAAUGCGUAGAGAUCGGGAGGAAUACCAGUGGCGAAGGCGGCCUUCUGGACUGACACUGACACUGAGGUGCGAAAGCGUGGGUAGCAAACAGGAUUAGAUACCCUGGUAGUCCACGCCGUAAACGAUGUCGACCAGCCGUUGGGUGCCUAGCGCACUUUGUGGCGAAGUUAACGCGAUAAGUCGACCGCCUGGGAGUACGGCCGCAAGGUUAAAACUCAAAUGAAUUGACGGGG